GUAGGUGGCAAGCGUUGUCCGGGAAUUAUUGGGGCGUAAAGCGCGCGCAGGCGGUUCUUUAAGUCUGAUGUGAAAGCCCACGGGCUCAACCGUGGAGGGUCAUUGGAAACUGGAGAACUUGAGUACAGAAGAGGAAAGCGGAAUUCCACGUGUAGCGGUGAAAUGCGUAGAGAUGUGGAGGAACACCAGUGGCGAAGGCGGCUUUCUGGUCUGUAACUGACGCUGAGGCGCGAAAGCGUGGGAGCAAACAGGAUUAGAUACCCUGGUAGUCCACGCCGUAAACGAUGAGUGCUAAGUGUUAGGGGGUUUCCGCCCCUUAGUGCUGCAGCUAACGCAUCAAGCACUCCGCCUGGGGAGUACGGCCGCAAAGGCUG
rnacentral:rRNA from 1 species